CGGCAAUAGCUCAAAUUUGAAAUCUGGCCUUCUGGCCCGAAUUGUAAUUUGUAGAGGAUGCUUCGAACGUGGUCUGGUCUAAGUUCCUUGGAACAGGACGUCAUAGAGGGUGAGAGCCCCGUACGGUUGGACGCCUAGCCUUUGUAAAGCUCCUUCGAC
rnacentral:rRNA from 1 species